GCAGGCAGGCAGGCGGUCACCAUGUUGAAACUAAUAUUUGAAUUCUCGAGAUGUGACUGGUUAUCUAACUGGAUUCCGGAAGAUCGCACCCGGGGAUCAUUGGCGAAAAAGUCGAAUAGAAAUUGCUGUUGUAGGAGGGACAUUCUUUAUUACUGGUUGUUUCGUCUUGAUCGAAACUUUUUAGCAAGCGAAUGGCGCAGGCGAACUUAUUAAAAGGAUCGUCGUUCUAAUAGAUUUUGGCGUUGGCCCAGCCAGACCACUAACUUUCCUCAUUUGUUCCCAUUCCAAGAUAAAAAAGAGAGGGCUAUAAACCAAUGCCAAAGUAUAUAUCCGUGAGACCGUGACAGUACACUUAUUCUAUUACCGCCACGCGACGUUGACACGGCUAAAUCUCGAGGAAAAUUUAUGAAGUUGGCCCGAAAAACUGAUUGGAAUGGGGGGCGACUUUCUUUUCUGCAGCGAACAAAAAAGGGGGAAAUCAAUACAAAAGAAUACCCCAUCUUUUUAUUACUCGCGCAAAGCUUUUGUUUCACGUUCAAAAAAAUCUCAUAUUCCUCUGUUUUUCAAUUAUCUUGCGUCACACAAAUAAAAGGCCCAGCCGUGACGAAAUUAUUCCAAACAUUGGCAACGUCAAACGCCAUUCCCGGUUUUCGUCUGUUUGAUGUCGAGUCGCAAAAGUUGAAAGUGCUCGUAAGUCAUCACUUUCGGCGGGCUGGAAUAUCCGAGAAUACAAGACGCGCAAUCGGCAUAUCAUUUGAAUAUCAUCACGAAAAUAUUGCCUGCUCAGAUAUACACGCCCUUGCGUCGAUAUUUGAAAGUUUUCUUCAUGGCUAAACGAAACGAUUUCAUCAUGGGGAAAAUGUUUAUCGCCCAACGUGUCUUUGGAAAAGUCAUCAAUGUGAAGAAGCCACAAAGCCAUUGCAGCCUUUUUGUAGGUCUUCUUAUUUCGUGGCUCAGCAGUAACAUUUGAAAACCGGAAGAAAAGAAGAAGAAAGAAAAAAGAGCACACCAAAAGCUUAUUAACAGAUGUCGAUUAAUAAGAAAAGAAGAAAAAAAGGACUCACGCGCCAGCAUUAAGGAUCCAGUAGGUGGGAUCAUCCGAUAGCCAAGGAUUAGACGGCUGGGGCGUCUGAAGAAACGGAUCGUAUUCGCUGUAGGUGGCGCAGUGUUGUUGCAGCGUCUCGGCCGCCACAGACACCUUGAUCCGCGCUCUAACCAGCUGGCCCCUCACAAACUCCACCUGAAACCACAGGAGACGGUCACAGCAAAUUCACCAUUGUUGUUUACGGGGCUGACGAACCGAACGACCUGUCACCACCCACACGAAACCGUUGAAGAAAGAGAGGACGAGCCAAAGAGAAGAGAAUUCUGGAGACUACUAGAGAGAGUAGUAUUGAUUUUUCGUGCCCUGCUGCUGCUGCUGUAUGUGUCGGAGAAAAUAGAUGGAAGACCGGCGAAAUAGUACGACGCUAUAGAAAAAAAGAAAGAUGUCCUCUUCUUCUACCUUUGCAAAAAAGGAAAGGGGGCCUCGUUAAGCUAAUUUAAGCAAGGGAUUUUUACAAGUACGUGUGUAUCGGAUAAAAAGUUCUACCUCCCUCAUUCCUCUCCUUGGAUACAGAUGAGGCCAAAGCCGUCGCCGUCGUUUCAGUCCAACCCAUGUUUCCAGCGGUAUCAUCAGCGCAGCGGGUUGGCAUGGUGACCGUGCACCGAAUAUAUCCUAUAUAUAUAUUCUCAGGGGCAUGAUUACAUCCAGCAGCAGCAGCAGCAGCCAUCAUCUUCCCUCUCGCUCUCCCUUUCGCUUGUCAUUACAUAACUUGAUACAACAUUCGCCCAGGCUCCCCGCACAAAAAGAGUUUUGAUCUCUUCGAUGUUCUUCCACUUUCGGAUAAAAUUGGACGAUGCGGUUGUGCAAGAAGCUCCGGCCGAGUCGUCACGCUGAUUCGAAGAUGGCGCCAAUGAAAUCCACGACGAGUUGGUGGGGAAAGGCGGCUGUUCCAGGCAAUUGAGGAAACUGGGCGGCGGCCUGUACGCCCUCCAAUAGGCCCGCUCUUGGCUAUCCGUUACGAUCUUGUCGCCUUUCUUCCGGUCUUUGGCCAGCCUCACCUUGACGGAACAAAUGGAGAAAAUGUACAACAACCAACAACGGCGAGUGAGAGACCCCACAAGCUCUUUUACUUAUCUUUCCCUCCGCAACCAGUAUUGCCCGCACAGUCCGGUUGGUGAUGCCUUUCGUUGUCUAUUGCCCGCCGCCGCCGCCGCCGUCGUCGUCGUCGUCGUCGUCGUUCUUUAAUUGGAUUGCGCACGACAUCCCAUCUCCGUCCCAGACGCGACUUGGAACUUCCGGCCGGAUGGCAAUAAUCAAGGACGCACAGAUGUUGUCAAGUAAAAAGUCGCAACAACAGCCGUUGAAGAUUUUUUUUAAGAAAGUCCCGCUGUCCACGUGGUAAACCCGCCCAAAUAAAAAGAAUGUUUGAAAUAAGAAAAAAAAGGUGAUAUUAUUUCUGUACGCUCCUGCCCCGCUCCCGACUCCCGAAAGAAGAAAAAAGAUGGGCGAGGCGAGAUGGGAGUUAUUCUGGUCCCCCCACCCAUUCAUCGGCAAACCUUCGCAUCUAUAUACUCGCACGCCGGGGGGCGCUGGAUUGCAAAACGCCAUUCCGUUCCUUUUUAUUUGCUUUUUGCGUUUGGGAUGAAGGAAGAAAAAGUGACGCAAGCGCGUGCCUCCGCUAUCGACGAUUCAGGAACACCACAAACUACUUUUACUACUACAUGGUGGAGUCAGGAUGGAUCGAAUGGGAGGCCUGCCCCGUUCCCCCCUGGAAAUUUCCAUUAAUUUGAAAAUGAUUUUCUUGAUGGAUCUGCCGCUUCUGCUCAUACCAGUGGAUGUGCAUCUUACACAGAUCCCGGGAGCUGCUGCUGCUCUUUAAGAGAGUCGUGAGGUGGAGGAUGGGUGGGACUGACAAGAAGAAUGGACGAUUAAUAUUCACGAGAAUGAAUGCGCAACAUCCGCCUUCCCCCCACCACCCCACAUGACAUGGCGAGGAGGAGGACGGUCGGUCGGUCGGUCGGGAAAUCCCAGGAGGGACGGCCCAACUGUGCGGCAAAGCGGAGGCAAAGUCGUACGUUAUUUAUUAGGCAAAUGAAGGGCCGUCCGACGGUCCGGCAGCGGCAAUCAUACUCGCAGGUGAUGAGGAUCUCGGUCGACGACGACAACAGUGGUGGCAGACGACGGGAUCUGGCGGCCUGAUGGACGGCCUGGCUCCUGCGAGCUGGUGGCGGCGGCGGCGGCGGCGGCGACGGCCCAGCAUUUGGGCAUGUUGAUGUUUUUACACCUUCUUCAGAAAAAUGUGGAGUGGAAUGCUGGACGAGAUGACGUUGGAGAGUCCUCGACCACCACAACAACAACCGAAUCGACGACGCACUUUUCUUCUCCCACCAAAAAUAUUCGGUCCCGCUCAGAAUAAGCGACAAGUUAUUCGACACGACAAUCCUCAACAAUUGUCAAUUCUUUUGAUCGUUCGUUUCACUGGAAAAGGAGAACCCGAACAAAAACGUUUCCGAUCGGAAAUGGUCAACAGAGAGAGAGAGAGAAAAAAAAAGGAAAUUCUUAACGCAAUCGAAACCGGGCGGACACACACAAAAAAAGGACGACGACGAAUCGAAUCAAAGGGAGAGAAAUGAAAACGGAUCCGAGAGGUACGAAGAAGAGCUAAAUAUUCUUUUCGCACGGGAUUUCUUCUUUUGGGGUUGGCCUUGUCACAGCUCCGAAAAUAACAGAUGGACAAGGAUGAAUGUAAUCAGAGGAAAUGAAGGAAGAAGAUAAAAGAAGAUAAAAGAUGGCCGAAAAAAUCAAAGAA